CUAAUAAACUCGUUGAAUUUUCGUUUGCAGGAAAUACAGGAGACGCCAAACCACCUCUUUCUGUUGGAACUGCCAGAUUCAAAUUCAGCUAUGCAUUAUUGAUACUGGCCUUCUACGUUUACUUAUAUGAAAUUAUCUAUUAGAACUUGUAAAAACAACCGUCUGUGACUAUUAUAGGAACCACGGUGAAAAAUAACGAUCUUUUCAGCUAUUUCCCCUCCAUCUGGAUGUGUUUCCCAGAAAUUAAUAAUAAUUGAGUUUAACUGAGUAAAAUUCCUUAUCAAUUUCUAGUCAUAUUUGCUGCUAUAUAUUGCAACACUACGUUUAAUCACCACCUUGUACAAAGCAGUGAAGCACCGAUUCCACCUUAUCCCAACUGGUCAGCAUCAAAGAAAUUGUUCGUGGCAGUUCAACUAUGUUGGCACUGGAGACUCAGUCCUAGUGUAUACCACCUCUCAUGUCAUUCAUCUAUAUCCACAAGUGUGGACUGGGUGCACGUAGG
rnacentral:lncRNA from 1 species